GCGGGUGUCGUAUAGUGGCUAUUAUAUGUCCUUGCCAAGGAUAAGACGGCGGUUCGAUCCCGCUCACCCGCUCCA
rnacentral:tRNA from 1 species